rnacentral:rRNA from 1 species
AGUGAACGCUGGCGGUAGGCCUAACACAUGCAAGUCGAACGGCAGCACAGUAAGAGCUUGCUCUUACGGGUGGCGAGUGGCGGACGGGGGAGGAAUACAUCGGAAUCUACUUUUUCGUGGGGGAUAACGUAGGGAAACUUACGCUAAUACCGCAUACGACCUACGGGUGAAAGCAGGGGAUCUUCGGACCUUGCGCGAUUGAAUGAGCCGAUGUCGGAUUAGCUAGUUGGCGGGGUAAAGGCCCACCAAGGCGACGAUCCGUAGCUGGUCUGAGAGGAUGAUCAGCCACACUGGAACUGAGACACGGUCCAGACUCCUACGGGAGGCAGCAGUGGGGAAUAUUGGACAAAGGGCGCAAGCCUGAUCCAGCCAUACCGCGUGUGUGAAGAAGGCCUUCGGGUUGUAAAGCCCUUUUGUUGGGAAAGAAAAGCAGCAGGUUAAUACCCCGCUGUUCUGACGGUACCCAAAGAAUAAGCACCGGCUAACUUCGUG